rnacentral:rRNA from 1 species
AUUGAACGCUGGCGGCAUGCCUUACACAUGCAAGUCGAACGGCAGCGGGGGAGAAGCUUGCUUUUCCUGCCGGCGAGUGGCGAACGGGUGAGUAAUACAUCGGAACGUGCCCUGUAGUGGGGGAUAACUAGUCGAAAGAUUAGCUAAUACCGCAUACGACCUGAGGGUGAAAGUGGGGGACCGCAAGGCCUCAUGCUAUAGGAGCGGCCGAUGUCUGAUUAGCUAGUUGGUGGGGUAAAGGCCUACCAAGGCGACGAUCAGUAGCUGGUCUGGGAGGACGAUCAGCCACACGGGGACUGAGACACGGCCCAGACUCCUACGGGAGGCAGCAGUGGGGAAUUUUGGACAAUGGGCGAAAGCCUGAUCCAGCAAUGCCGCGUGUGUGAAGAAGGCCUUCGGGUUGUAAAGCACUUUUGUCCGGAAAGAAAUGGCUCUGGUUAAUACCUGGGGUCGAUGACGGUACCGGAAGAAUAAGGACCGGCUAACUACGUGCCAGCAGCCGCCGUAA